AAAUAUAAAAGGUAUAUAUUAUAUACUUAAGGGGGAGACAUGUGACAAAAAGAAAAUCUAAAUUCUGGCACAUAAUCAUAGAGAUUUUUCUUGCCUCGAUACAUGGCUUGAAACUCUUGCUUUGACACAAACUUUCGAAAAUUUUGUCUUAAUGAAAUACAAGAGUAAGGGGGAGCAAAGCUAAAACUCAUUUGGCAUCUAUUUGGAUAGGAUAGGGGGAGUUUUUGGUUCAUUUAUACAAACUCUAAAUAAGACUACUUUGAAACUCUUGAACCAAAAGUACUUUAUGAAUGUUAAAUCUAACUUUUCAUAUGAAUGCCAAUUUGCUUACACUCAAUAUUUUGUAAUCAUCAAAAAGGGAAAGAUUGAGGAUGAUAAUGUUAUUUUGAUGAUUAACACAACCAUUGAGGCCAUAUCAAAUUAAAAAUGCAAAUUAACUCGAUACAUCA
rnacentral:lncRNA from 1 species